ensembl:lncRNA
CUACACUUGUGUUAUUGAAACCAAAGCACAUAAUUGGAACCAAGUCCAGUGGAGGCAUCAAGGUAAAAAAAUCAUUAGACCCUCUUUAAGACAUGUCUGUACUCUCCCUGCCUAGACAUCUUUAGGCUACUCAUUUCACUUCUUGGAACUUUAUUUCAUCAUAAUGAUAGUGUGGCAACACUCAUCCCAUACAUUAAAUGAUAAAAAGUAAACAAAAGUUUGAUUAUAUCAAAGCAUUUUUGGGGGGAGGAAAAUUUUUUAAAGGUAAUAUAUUGUCCAAUUUAUCAAAGAAUAUUUUGUUUUGUUGAAAUAAAAGUCAACACACAUAGAAAAUGUGACCUAGUUAUUUCUGGCCAUGUUUUGUAGCCACUUGGUAAAACAGCAUUUUCUGGAAGCUUUUUAAAAUGAAUAUACUUAACUGUAUUUGGUCAGGGUCUCUAGCAAUUUCUGAAAAAGAUUUUAAGAACCAGCGGUACCCAUUGACUGAGUUAUAUCUAGGAAUGCACUUGUCCCUUUCCCUGUAACUAAAAUAACAUUUCAGAACAGGAUAUUUCUGUUGUCAUAAUAUAUUCUGGCUGUGUCUACAAGAUGCCAAAACAAGUGAAAACUGAAAUGUUCAGGCAAAGCAGGUACUUGGCACUUUAAGAUUUGGUGUUGUUUUAUUAACUUAAUCUUUUCUCCCCCUAAUGCAUUGAGUCAAGCCGACUUUUUUGUGCAGACAUAACCUUGGUGUUUUUAGUUGGAUUUGAGGUCAUUCAUCUUUAGUCAGUCACACGUUUGAUCUGAAGAUAUUUGUGAAGUUUACAUUUAUGAAAGUGUUUUCUUAAGCUCAUCAAGCAGAGUUUUCCUUCCUUCUAAACAUAUCAUAGGAUUCUUUUCCUAUUAAUUCAUGUAUCUUCACAAUAGUAGCCCUGUGCUUCUCCACUACUUUCCUUUCUUAAUCAAAAUGGCGUGUCCUUAUUUUCCUUCUCAAUGUCCCUCCAAGAUUCAGAGAUCCUCUAACUCUUUUUGUUUUGUUUUUCACCAAUAAUUCUUCUCUUGAGAGCAAAGGUUCCCCUUUUGGGUGUUUAUGAAAUGACCCAUUUCCUCACAUCUCCUUGCUACCCUUGGCUUCAGGUUCCCUGACCUCUGGUUCCCAGCAUUAAUGUCCUUGUUUUGCCUCCAUCUCACUCUUACUGCCUGAAGGGACUCUGAUCCCAGCCUCUCCCAGGCACUGCUGGAUGCAAAUGGGAAGAGGAAGGAGCCGCAUGGAGGUCUGCUCCUGGACAAAGGCCAUCUUUACAUUCAGAGGCAUCUGGUUUUGCCAAGCAUGACUUCAGCUGGAAACAAUCUGGAAGCAGGAAGAUUUACUGAGCUAUAUUCUGAAAUUUAUGUGUGUGUGCACCAGCUUUUUCCUCAAAGACUGAUUCAGACCUAGGUUGUUGUGGGUUGUUUUAUUUACUGACAAUUUUCUUAUUAGAAGAGGAACAGUACUUCCCAACAAAGCCUUUGGCAUAGGAGGAUAUCUGAAGAAGGGAGAAAAUUUCCUUAUCAAAUGUAACAACUUCCCUGUAGGUGAUUUUACAAAAUGAGAGUAUUUGAGAGAACGUUAAGAGUCACCUGGUCCACGCUUUUUUCUUUUUAUUCAGAUAAUAAAUAUUCAUGGGGCCCUUUCUUUCCUUCAAAGGUCCUUCCCAAGACUCUCCAUUAUCACUGCUUUGGUCUACCUGCCUCAUCUGUGGGGGCUCCCUCUCUGUUUCUGUGCCCCCCAUUGCCACCUAACUUACUAGCCUACUACACUGUAACCUGCUGAGAGUAAACCUAAGAAUGUUUUGAAAACAUUUUAUUAAGCCCCACAACUUAAGAGUUGGAAGGAAAAAUAAGCAUUUUUUCCCCCAAAAUAUAUGUGUAUACUGUGUUCGUGCUAAGUUGCUUCAGUCACGUCUGACUCUUUGUGACCCUAUGCACUCUAGCCCGCCAGGCUCCUCUGUCCAUGGGAUUCUCUAGGCAAGAACAUUGGAGUGGGUACCAUUCACUAAGCCUCAGUAAUUCCAUUUCUAUGUGUA